rnacentral:lncRNA from 1 species
GACCUUGCAACCCCCCUGCAACCCAGCAAGUACCAGUGAAUUGUCCUAGCUAAUCCAGAACAGCAAUGAUCAUAAAUUAAGGAAUUAUUGGGCGUGGAGCAUAGGUUCAAACCAAACCCAGAAAGACAAACAAAAGAUCAUGAAAAGGAAAAAAAUUCUAAUGAAAGAGAGCAGCAGCCAUCUAAAUCAAUCCUAAAGCUAUAACCAGCCCCGGUGAAGAGCCUCUUGGAUUCCUCAUUAGAAUAAGAUAACCAGCAGAUUGUAAGUAAGGAGAUGAAGAUGAAGAUAAUAGCCGUCCAAUAUUUGGAGAAUAAGAACCCAUAAAAUCUGAGUAUGAAGUAGAGUAAUUUGCACUAAAUGAAGAAAUGACAUAACACCAACAUGAAGAUAAAAAAACCCAGAUAAAAGAAAUUAGAUAAGAAAUCUAAUUAAAACGUAUCAACUGGUCUCACAGAAAUCACGAAAACCAUAUUAAAUCAAGAGAGACUCAAGUCGCCAAAGAGAAAUUGCAACCCAAAUCACAACACGACUAGUUGAGGCAUGAAACAAAGGAACAUCCCCAAAGCAUAUCAACCGACACACUCAAAAGGAAGGAACUUCUGUGACACCCCCAAAUCCGGGUUAUUUUUAACUCGGAUUUGGUGCUCACGAUACUAACAUACUCAUUUAUACUAUCAUAAAUCUGUCUUAUAUUACAUAAAUAUCGUACUUAAAUCUCAGGUUCUAUAGACCUUUACAUAAUUUACAAACCAAAUAACAUUACAAAACAUAGUACUAACAAUAUUUAUUACAUCAACUACUUAAGUUCAUAUAAGUACAAGCGCUUAAUAAAAGAUUAUUCAGCAACUUUGCCCUUUCCUUUAUCUUUCUCGGACGGACCAGCGCUCUCAGUUUUAACUGAAAACAUUAUAUUUAACGCAAGGGUGAGCAACAGCUUGCUCAGCAAGGAAAUAAGCAGUUGAAUAUAAUGGAACAAAAAUAGUUAUAGCAAUGAGGAUACAAUUCAAUAGAUACCGAACAAGACAGUUCUUUAAAAGUUUUGAGUCUAAAAAUCAGGCUUUAGCAUGCUGUAAGGUCAAAUGACCAGUGAACUCUAUACUAGAAUUGACAACACUAACACUGUAAUCCAUGGAGACGAACAGUUAUUGAAGUUGUUCUAUAUCCUAGACUUGUACUGUAGGGCAUCAACCUAAGUACUCUACAUUGUGUACAACAUAACAGUCUAAUGACACUUUACAUGUCCUUCGGAAUCAUAUGUCUGGUACAAUAUGCCCCUAUAAAAGGGUUAUUCGUUCACAACAUUAUAUAAGAAUCCGCAUCACAACAAAAUGGUUUGGAAAACAUUAAAUGAGAUUUUCAUGAAUAAUAUCAAUGUAUCUCAACAGUUGUCUAACCGAAAUAAUGACAUUGACAUUCUUUCAAUAUAAACUUAUUUAAGAGAGAAAAGUUCGAUAUACUAUUCUCUUAAAGCUGAUUGAAAUAAAAAGGUUAUUUAGCCUUAUAUUAUUCAUAAAUAAUGAGAGACAAUUCAGAAAUUAGAGAACCUGCCCAUUCUAGAAUACUUGCUCAAUAAAGAGUAAGAGUUAGAAACUUGCCUCGUUUGUAGACUAUUGAUAAGAUUUAGCUUAAUGUGUUCUCACAGAGCCUACACAAUUUAUUUGCAUUUACAAGCAUAUUAGCCAAAUAGCAAAGUCAUAUAGCUUGUGUAUGUUCACACAUCACAUAAUUCAGUGGUCAAGAUUGUAGUUUAGAUUUCUAUAUCUGAGAUAUUUUAUACAUUUUUCAAAUACCUCAUCCAUGUUUUCGACUUACUUUCAGUUCAUAACCCUUAUAUAAUUUAAGUUCAUAUACAUUGCAACCUUCUUUAUAAUUUGGGUAUUUCAAGGUGAAUACAUAAUGUGACGCCCCCAAAAUAGGUCCACACGACCCAUUCUGAGUCGCCAGAUAUCAUACUAUAAAAAUUAAAAACAAACUUCAUUUAACUGUUGAUCUGUUGUGCAGAAUACGACCACAGUUAAACUAUGAGUUUUAAUACAAAUGUAUGUAACUCUUAUGGUGCCUCGACCACAACCUUAUAAUGGUACUUUACAUAAAAGUACAGUCAAAAACUGUUUUAGAAAUUAAAAUCUUUGGAAAGUACUCAAAGAAACCUUCGUACAUGGGAGGCCAUGCGUCUAGGUUAUGAUAGAUAUCAUAUGUCCACAGAAUUAUCCUUAGUUGACCCAAAAGUCCCCAAAGAAAAACAAGAAGAUUACUAUCAUCUUCUUUCCAAUGGUGAGUCUUCUCUUGACAUAUAAUUAUCUCCGUUGUCUCCAAAUAAAAAUUAUAUUUCAAAUAAACUCCAAGAUUAUAUAGGUAGUGCUUGUAGAUAUACUCAGCAAGUGGAUGUGCACAACCCUGUCUUAUGAUAACACGAAGUCGGCUGUCAUUAAUUAGACAUCUUGUAUGAUAGUGGCAAAAACGCCCUUCCAAAAUUGGGUUCCCCUCACCCUAUUUGGUUCACCAAAAUUAAAUAUCAAAUGACGUAUACAAUACGACACACUUAUCUAAAGUUCUCAAUAAAAUUAUUUUCAUACUACUUAGGGAGAACCUCAACAGCUAUAGACCACCGUUCUACUCCCCUGUUAUCUCCGCUUAAGUCGGCAACACUCUUAUUACCUGAAAGGAAUUGUGAAGCAAAAAGGGUGAGCACAACUAGCCCAGUAAAGAAUAUCAUGACUAAAGAUAAUUAAAUUAUCAAUAGCCUUCGUCAAUAAUAAAUCAGAGAUUUAAAACAUAUGGUAGAUGAUAAAACUUUUCAACCAUAGUUGCAGCAGAACGAGCAAUCCAUUAGAAGAGUCAAAUAGACCAUAAGGUCUAUUAUCUUCUCCACAUUAGAAGUCCACCAACAAUGUUUUAUCUCUAUAACAUCAAUCAACAAUUCCUUUCCACAAUCAUGUGAACAACUCAUAAUCAUAAUUGUGAUUCUAAAUUCCUCUUCACACCUAGGACGAAGAUAAUUUUCAUUACCUAUCUUUACCUGAAACAUCAAAAAUCAUAGUUAUACCAAAUCACAAUUCUUGUUCAUAAUCAUACUAAUAAAUUUAUCUUUGCACUAUGGCCAAAGAUAUUCAUUAACACUUCAUAUUUGCACUACAGGCCAAAGACAUACAACUGUAUUUUAGAAGAGUCAAGUAGAGUAUGAUAUCUACUAUCUUCUACGAAUUAAAAGUGUAUAAUCAAUAUUUUAUCGCUGAGACUCAGCUUAAUAAAUAAUUCACAUCAUUGAAUCAUCUCUGCACUACGGCCAAGGAUAUUCAUUAGUAUUAUGACCACGAAUUAUCCAUGCACUAUGGGCCAAGGAUAUUCGUGUUUUCAACAAUAGUCAUGAUUAUACCGAAUAAUCCAUGGUUAUAAUCAUACCACAACUGUCCAUCAAUGCACUACGGGCCAAUGAAGACUUUUAUCACAUCAUUUGUAACAUUACGGUCAUGAUUAUACCGAAUAAUUUCUGGUCAUAAUCAUACCAAGUUCAUCUAUCCACGUAAAAACCACAGAUGACUUUCAUCACUAUAUAAGCAUGAGGAUGAUGACAAUAAUAUAAGCAUUAAUCAAACGAAACAAGGAUAAAUAUUAAAGACGUUAAAUUUAUCCAGAGUUUAAAAUAUCCAAAUGUUAUCAAUCACAUAAUAAUCUCAUAAUCUAAUAUCAUUAAUAUUAUAACAAUAUUUUAAUCAUUUCUUAAACUUAAUAAACAAUUUAUUUUAAUUGUUUACACUUUACCAAAUAAUGCAUUUAAUCAUUCAAAAAUGUCAUACUCAUAAGAUUUUAUCACCAAUGAUCAAAUCCCUCAUCAAAAAUUUGCAUAUACCUUAUAUAGGAUUUUCAAGCCAUAAAAUUCUAUUUACCAAUUUUUCAACUUCACAUAACAUAUCUAAUUCAUAUGUUCGUAACUAAACUAUUUUCAUGAAAAAUAACAAAUCAGUCUCAAAAAGUUUUCUUUUCUGGGAUUUAGCAAAAUAUAGUCCCAUAUUGAACAUAUAUUUUUCUCAAAAUUUUUUAAAAUUCAUUUACUAUUUUUCAUAUGGCCAAAACUGUCGAAUAUUUAGACAUUUAUCAUAAACUGUACUUUUGUCCAAAAAUUCCAAAAUUUACAAGGUAUACUCCUGUUAUAUAUAUGUACUCCCAAUAAAAAUUUUACCAAUUUUGGAAUUAACCACAAAGAUUUAUAAGGGUUAAUUUUAAAAUAGUCUUUUCCUAUAAAUUCAUAACUCUUAAUCUAUACAUCCAAAAAUAGCCAUUUUUGGACACAAUCUAGAAAACUCAUCAAAUUAUCAUUUCAAAAUUUUCCAAAAUUUUUGAGGGUCAGAAAAAUUAUGAAACUAUAAAUGAAUUUUCACCCGCCAUGCGGUAGUCCACGUAGACAGAUCAUUACCACAAUUUAAUAAAGAAUGAAUACGAAGGAUCAUUCAUCAUGCAUGUGGUAAUCCACACAGACAAGUUAUUCCAACAGAAUAAUAAAAAAUGGAAUAACAGAAUAAUUCACCAUGCAUGCAGUAGUCCGCGUAGACAGGUUAUUCCAACAGAAUAAUAAAGAAUGGAACCAGGUCAUGCGUAAUCCACAUAGACAGGAUAUUUCAACAGAAUAAUAAAGAAUAGAACCAAGUCAUGUGUAAUCCUUACAGACAGGAUAUUCCAACAGAAUAAUAAAGAAUGAAAUAACAACAGAAUUCACCAGGCAUGCGAUAGACCGCACAGACAGGUUAUUCCAACAGAAUAAUAAAGAAUGGAAUAACAGAAAAAUUUCACCAUGCAUGCGGUGGUCCGCGUAGAAUUCACCAGGCAUGCGAUAGACCACACAGACAGGUUAUUCCAACAGUAAAAUAAAGAAUGGAAUAACAGAAGAAUUUCACCAUGUAUGCGGUACUUCGCAUAGACAGGUUAUUCCAAUAUAAUAAUAAAGAAUGGAAUAACAAUCCUUACGAGUAUUGAAAGAAAAUAACUCUCUUCAUAAAUACGAAAGAAUAAUACCCCUUACUAUAAUAAUAACAUUCCUUACCUCAGAAGAAAAAGGAAUACUGAAAUAGUAAGGUAGCAGACUUCUCUUCUUCUUUCUCUCUAUAAUUACUCUCUAUAAUAAUUGCUCUAUAACUUUAGUGAAUUGGUGAAAAAUAAUGAAGGAAUGAACUUCUAUUUAUAGAAAAAUAUAGUUUCCAUAAUUGCACAUUUUGGGGCUCAAAAUACUACAGUAUAAUACCUUCCUCUUUUUCUUCAUUUUUAAUUUAGUCCUGCAAGUAUUAUCAAACUUGCACCACCUCCCCUAAUAGUAAAUCAUGUGAAUUAAUAGUAAAUCAUGUGACUCAAUAGUUCUAAACAUGUGAAAAAUUAAUAAUAGUAUAGUACCUUCAACUAUACCUCCAUUUUUAACUUAGUCAUGCAAGUAUUAUCAAUCUUGCACCAACUCCCCUAAUAGUAAAUCAUGUGAAUCAAUAGUACACACAUGUGAACACAUAGUUAUAAGCAUGUGAAUUAAUAGCAAUUAAUUGCUCAUUUAUCCGGUGAAUUACCCGAUUGGUCAAUAUAACCUCCAGACAUCAAUUAUUAUCGAAAUAAAUGUCGAUUUUCACUAACACUAAUAAUUCUCACACAAUGGAACUAUCAAUUUCAUAUUUAAUCAACACGAACUUAUUCAUCAUUAAUAUUAUAACUCACAAUAUUUAACAAUCAGGUCAUUCCCAGGAAAAAGGAGGCUUUCCGAUAAGGAUUUCUCUUUAUUGGCGCGCAAUUAGGUGACCAAACAUCUCCUUGACGAACUUCUAAACAUUGUCAAUAUUGCAAAUAAUAAUAUGAAUAACUUUUCCGUCUCAAUUAUUGAUUUAAUAAUAUAAAAUAUUAUGCAAAUGAUACUGUGACAAUAAUUGAAUCAAUAAUAUGAGAGAUAUGAUGCAACAAUUACUGUAUCAAUAAUUGAGUAUAACUAAGUGACUUCUUACGUAAGCAUCAAUAAUCAAUAUCGUGUGCUACUAUGCAACCACGCGUAUUACUGUACUUUUACUACCGGGUAGUUCAACAAUUUUAACUGUAACACUCGCCGUUAUUUUUAUAAAAAGAUAAUUCUGUUGUUUUCUAAAUACGGCAAUACUUCCGUUGUGGGGUCCACCAAUGAUUAUGCCGUCGUACGAAUAUUCCCUGUGAAAACGAAUAUUUCCCGACACAACGAAUAACAACUUGCUUACUUUAAAAAAUUUUCAAAUAUCACCCUUAACUUUAACUCUUUCUCAAUUUAACCAUUUACUAAAUAGAAUAAUUAUAAGAAAAUUGAAUACUUUCAUUUCAUAAAUUUUGGGGUCUCACACAAGGUAUUUCAUGAAUUGAGUAUGGUUGUGUAUUAUAGAGUAAACUUUAGUUUCCAUUUUUGCUUUGCAAAAUACAAUGUUAAACUAUUCAUUUAAACUUAUAUACUAUAAUUCUUAAUUAUGAUCAAAACAACCCUCCAAGGCUUUACUAGACCCAAUUUGGUUUAAUAAAUACAACCUAAGGCACCCACUCAUGCUAGUUCUAUUCCAGAGUUGGUUAAAUCAUUUAUACAAUAUUUGAGUUUCUUGUAGGUUCAUUCAUAUCAAUUAGUGUGUUAGGCUAAUAUGUUUUAAGAUUAUACCUAAAAUAGUCCUUUUCUAUGUUCUUUUUAUUAGGUGUACUAACUGGUUCCUUAUUGCUCUUUUAUGCCAGCAACCAAGCUUAGCUUGGCCCCAUGAGGCUUAGCUAAGCUUGGUGUGGCCACAUUUGGCCUCACAACCCCAUUUGAACCUGCCUUGGCCCCCACAGUCCCAACUCAUAGCACAUGUACUGUCCUUGUAAUAUAAUUAUUAACUCCUUUAUAGAGAAUUGUAACCACAUUAUCAGGCUUGUGUACAAGUUUACUUUGAUAAUAAAAUUACAGUCUAUGUUUUAUUUCUUCAAGUUCUAUUUUUUUUAAUACCAACUGGCUAUCCAAACUACCAUAGCAGUUAGUUGAGGCCACAUAUUAUUGCUGACUGGUAGCAGUCCCAUGAUUCCCUUUUUAUCAAAUUUUCACUCUCAAGUCAGCUAUCAGUUGGAAUAAUAUAACUCACACAGUUUCUUAAUAUUGGGAUGUUAGAACAAAGUUAUAGGAGGUAUUUAGAUGUGUUAUUGGUAACAGCUACUGUCCUUGGACAGUAGCUUGUUCUCUUGAUCCUAAACUUUGCUACACUUUAAAUUUUAUCCCAAAUCACUAACUGCAGCUAAAAGAAAGCCAAAAGGAAUUAACUUAGUUGCCAAAUUGGCACUACACCUACUUACUUGAUGUUGCCAAGGACAACAUCUACUUGAUUUAGGUUGGUACUAACAGCUAUAGCUGCUACUCACUGCUACCCUUUUGUAGCAGUCCUUGAUCCUAUUUGAGCACCUUAAGAUCUCUACAGAAUUUUUUCCUUCUAAAGUGAUGCAACCAACUGAUUUUCUCAAGUCUGCAAUAGCAGUUACCUAAAUUUAUUUGCUACUGUCAUUAGCAGCAGCCCCUGAUCCUUAACCCAUGCCCAGCCAUCCCUUAGCCAGAUUUUCAAUCACAGGUCUCAAGGUUACUUAUUCUCUAGAGUUUUAAAGUCAUUCGAGUGGGCCAUCAAAAUGAAAUUAAGAUUGAUUCAUUGGCUCAGUCACAACCCAUAACAGAUGGUCAAAGGACUUAGUCAAGAGAGAAUUUCCAUUUCUUAGUCUAACCACUGCACUAUGCUAAAGUUGGCAUACCAAAACACUUUAAUUUGUUGCUUCCAAUUAACAUGUUCAACUAUAUUCCUCUUUUAGGUAAACCUAAUAUAUAGCAAUAGAAGCACCAACAUUUUAGUUCUAAUUUGCUGCACAAAACAACCCUUACAGUGGCUUUGUUUUCCUUUGGCUUUAAUUCGAAUUCUAUUAGUAGAUAGGUUCCUUAACUUCCAUUUCUUUAUAUUCUUUUACAGACAUCAAAUAGGCCAGAGAAGGAACAUUGGCCCUCUAUAUAUCAACCCUACUUUGACUGCACAAAUAGUAUCCUAAUAUGCAAAGUUCAGUUCUGUUUUCCUUUUAACAAGAACAUUUGAUUUGUUCUAACUUAACACACUCAAUUACUCCAUUUAACACCACAUAUAAUAACUAAAUCAAAGCCAUACUUAACUGUGGUCAACUGGUUAGUUUUUUUAGCCAAAACAGUCUACUUGGGACUUUUGUCAAACAUGUGGAAUGCAUAGUUUUGUGUUACCAAUUUCACAGCCAUUCAUUUAUAUGAACAACCCAUAAUAACCUCCUUAUUACUCCACAACCCAACCUAUCUCCGUGUGCCUAAGUUCAGUCUAUAGUAGUAUUGCCAUAGCAUAGCAGUCAAUUUAAUACAUCAACAGUUAAUAUAGCAACACAGAUCAUACUAACAGUUAGUCAUGCCUCUUCUAGGCUUUUUAGGCAAGGUUUAGCACUAAGUUACAAAAUCAGUCAUUAAGUUUGCAACACAAAGGUUAUCACAUCAUGUACAUGCUAUAUAAUAAAUGUUCAUGCUUUAAAGAGCCUACACAAAAGGCUUCUAGCUUUAGUUCAAAGCAGCCUCUCAUAGGCUUCAAAUUGAUACAAGGAAGCAUGAUUUGAAAAAUCUAGAUACCAAAGUAACAUGAUUAGGCAACAUGGAAACAAGGAAUGACUAUUUACCUAAUAAAUAUAUUCGAAGAAAGGCAUGAUUAUCAUAAGAAAACUUCCAAUAACAGUCACAAGGACUGACUUUUGUUUAUUAAAAACUAACAUACUUAAGUUUCGCAAGUAUUAGCAUUAGUGGGUUGGAAUUAUAGACAUCAUAUUAUAGCAUAAGAAUUGAUAAAAAGGUAAAAUAUAUCAUUCAAAAUGAACUUCUUAAGACAGCCCCUUUAUGUUACCUUAGGUUUGUUUUAUCAAAACAUAAUCUUGAAUACUAACCAACUAAUCACCAUAUGCCUAUGCAACCCUUUAGCAUGCCUAAUACAUUAAUAAUAAUAUGUGAUUUAAUUGAUAUCCUCUGACUCUAAAUCACAGUUAGCAUAUAAAGCUACUAAAUCAGUCCAUAGCUUGGCAAUUUAUCAAACAGGUGGAGUGUAGUCCAUAUAUAUACAUAUAAUACAUAAUUUCUUAGCUUUAUUUCCCCAGCCUUAUGGCUUAAACAACAACAAGCAUAAGACAAUACAUAACAGCCCCAAUCACAGCAGUCCACAUAUAGCAUUGAAACAGUAAUCAUAUUGUACUAAUUCAAUAUAACAGUCAUACAUGUUACCUAGUCACUAACAGUCCAGUUGUUAUCAUUAAAGAAACAGGAACGAAUGGAAAAGGAUUGGAAAGGACAAAAUGAGCUUACUUUGUUGAUUCAAAGGUUACAAGUGAGUUGUGCUGCCCAACCUCUCCUCCUUCUCUAGCCGAAACUCUUCCACUCUCACUCUAUAUGACUGCUACUGUUAUUUCUUUUGGACUCUGCUAAGUGGUGAAGCUAAUUGGUUUUAGGCAAUAAGCUUGGCCUUUUAUGGCUGAGCUUAUCUCCUCUUUUCUGGCAGUACUACCACCUCUAGUUGGCCUCUACACAGCCACCCUAUCAAGCUCUCAGCCAUCAUUCCUAAUCUAGUCUAUACAGCCCCUAGUUGCAGUGUCAAUCUUCUGCCCCUUAGUUGCCCUUUCCUUGGUUCUUGGAGGCAAGUCGUGGAUGGCUAACUGAUUCACUCAGCCUAACUAAACUAAUCUUACCAGGUGAACUGCUUCACAAGUUCUGUUCUCUAUUUCCCUAUUUGGGUUGCUGAAUGUGAUUGAAGAAAGAGCUGACUUUAGGUUUUUGUUUGGGCCUAGCAGUUUAAUAAGGAGAAUGGGCUGAAAUAUAAUUAGCACAUAUUAUUAGAAAUAACGGUUUCAUGUAACUUCAUUAACAUAUUUUAG